rfam:Burkholderia sp. OLGA172 chromosome 1, complete sequence.
UUGAGCUGUAUGCAGGGAAACUUGCACGUACAGUUCUUAGGGGGCUAGGUGCGGGCAACCGCGCCUGGCUACCCGGC